UACAGACCCUCGAUUUGGUUCAGGACUCUUCCUUGGUUCAGGGAGGGUCCCCAACAAUGUCCUCAUGA
rnacentral:miRNA from 1 species